UGGGCUCAUGAUCAAGAAGAUGCAUUUCCUAUAGUUCAAAAACAAAAACGCUCUUGGAAAUUUUCACAAGUUGAAACUGUUCAACCAGCUAGAAACAUUCGCUCUGCUGAAAUAAAAACAACUGCUAGUAGCAUAGAGUUGUCUAGGGAAAAACUAGAAAUGGAAAUCACAGAUCAAUGAAGUAUCAAUUACACAAGGAAAACGUGAUUCUAUGGCAGAUCCUUCUCUCUUGGAGAUUCUGGCAGCAAAAAACUGCUUUACAUGCACGUCCUAAGAGAAUAAGAACCAAACCCAAAUUCUUCUUCUGUUAUUGUCACCUUAUCUUGCUCCUGUUUCACCAUUACACUCUCUAAAUCAUCCAAGGAGCCAAAAUUAUUAGAAAAAUAACUACCCUGUGGCUUCUGUUGGCCUAUCACAUAUCCAUCAUUUGAACUCAUCAGGGUCUCCAUUGCCAAAUUGUCAACCUCAUUGUGCUUCAACAGAAAUGGAUCCACAAUAUCUGAUUGCCUUGUUGAAUUGAAGCUCUUGGUUCUCUGGAAAAUUGCAUUAUUUGGGUCCAAACUCUGGCCCAUAGGACUCCCAGUGCCAUGAUUAGGAAUUACAGAGUUUAUUGAACUACAUUCGGCAUUUGAGUGGUAAGUGGCAUCUCGCCUCUGGCUCUGGUCAUCCCACCCUUGUGGGGCAUUAUUAAUUAUUUGUCUGGUAUUACUUCUAAUUGAAGCUAUUUGGCACUGUAAAUCUGCCUUAGAGUCCUGCAAGUGAAUUGGCACUGUAGAAAUAGAAGAGACUUGAGAAGGAUUAUUCCCACUUUGCAAAGCCAUUGUUGACAUGCUAUCUCUGAUGUUACUAGGAAGCAGGGUAGCUUGUUUGAAACAGUCAUUUAUGCCAAAAGAAUUCGAUUGGUCACCUGUUGACUGAACAGCACUUGACCAGCUGUCAUUACAUCUACCAUGAUCCAAAAAAUUGGAAGAAAAUCCUGAAUCUAAAGAGGCCACAGUAAGAGAAGAUUGUUUUCCAAAUUGUCGGCCAUCUUGAACCUCUUGAACACUCCCUUCUAACAUCAAGGGUUUGUUUGAAACACCAAGGAAAGCACUGUUUGAGCUGCUAGCCAUUAUUUUUGCAUCCUGGAAACCAUUGGAAACAGAGAAAGUAGUUGUAUUAUUAACAUCAGUAGGAAGUUCUCUGAUAUAGGUAACACCCUUGUUAGGUUGUAUUUGAUCAACUUCCAAUGACAUCGGCAUCCCUUGAAGCACAUUCCCAUCAUUUCCAGUAUGCACAAUUGACUGAAAUUGGCUCUGACAAUUAGUNNGGGGUUGGCAAAGGACCUAUUUGAAUCACUCCACUAGAAGGCAGACCACACAUACCAAGAGCAGCAGGCGAAUUCAACCUACCAAGCAUGCCACUUGGUGGGAGAGAUCUGAAAGCUGCAUUAUGAAACUGCCCAGUUCGAGCCAAGUUGGGGAAACCAAGUCCAUUCACAGAACCCAUUUGCAAGUAGGAAGCAUCUG
rnacentral:misc_RNA from 1 species